GCGAAGGCAGGUCUCUGGGCCAAUACUGACACUGAGGAGCGAAAGCGUGGGGAGCGAACAGGAUUAGAUACCCUGGUAGUCCACGCCGUAAACGGUGGGCGCUAGUUGUGCGAACCUUCCACGGUUUGUGCGACGCAGCUAACGCAUUAAGCGCCCCGCCUGGGGAGUACGAUCGCAAGAUUAAAACUCAAAGGAAUUGACGGGGCCCCGCACAAGCAGCGGAGCAUGCGGCUUAAUUCGACGCAACGCGAAGAACCUUACCAAGGCUUGACAUAUACAGGAAUAUGGCAGAGAUGUCAUAGCCGCAAGGUCUGUAUACAGGUGGUGCAUGGUUGUCGUCAGCUCGUGUCGUGAGAUGUUGGGUUAAGUCCCGCAACGAGCGCAACCCUCGUUCUGUGUUGCCAGCAUUUAGUUGGGGACUCACAGGAGACUGCCGGGGUUAACUCGGAGGAAGGUGGGGAUGACGUCAAAUCAUCAUGCCCCUUAUGUCUUGGGCUGCACGCAUGCUACAAUGGCUGGUACAAACGGCUGCGAUACCGCAAGGUGGAGCGAAUCCGAUAAAGCCAGUCUCAGUUCGGAUUGGGGUCUGCAACUCGACCCCAUGAAGUCGGAGUUGCUAGUAAUCGUAGAUCAGCAACGCUACGGUGAAUACGUUCCCGGGGCUUGUACACACCGCCCGUCACAUCACGAAAGUCGGUAACACCCAAAGUCAGUGGCCCAACCGUAAGGAGGGAGCUGCCAAAGGUGGGAUCGGUGAUUGGGAUG
rnacentral:rRNA from 1 species